GCUCCCUGAUUCAGCGGCGGACGGGUGAGUAAUGCCUAGGAAUCUGCCUGGUAGUGGGGGACAACGUCUCGAAAGGGACGCUAAUACCGCAUACGUCCUACGGGAGAAAGCAGGGGACCUUCGGGCCUUGCGCUAUCAGAUGAGCCUAGGUCGGAUUAGCUAGUUGGUGAGGUAAUGGCUCACCAAGGCUGCGAUCCGUAACUGGUCUGAGAGGAUGAUCAGUCACACUGGAACUGAGACACGGUCCAGACUCCUACGGGAGGCAGCAGUGGGGAAUAUUGGACAAUGGGCGAAAGCCUCAUCCAGCCAUGCCGCGUGUGUGAAGAAGGUCUUCGGAUUGUAAAGCACUUUAAGUUGGGAGGAAGGGCAGUAAGUUAAUACCUUGCUGUUUUGACGUUACCGACAGAAUAAGCACCGGCUAACUUCGUGCCAGCAGCCGCGGUAAUACGAAGGGUGCAAGCGUUAAUCGGAAUUACUGGGCGUAAAGCGCGCGUAGGUGGUUUGUUAAGUUGGAAGUGAAAGCCCCGGGCUCAACCUGGGAACUGCUUUCAAAACUGGCAAGCUAGAGUAUGGCAGAGGGUGGUGGAAUUUCCUGUGUAGCGGUGAAAUGCGUAGAUAUAGGAAGGAACACCAUUGGCGAAGGCGACCACCUGGGCUAAUACUGACACUGAGGUGCGAGAGC
rnacentral:rRNA from 2 species